rnacentral:rRNA from 1 species
GACGUAGGGGACGAGCGUUGUCCGGAAUUACUGGGCGUAAAGAGUGUGUAGGCGGUGCUCUAAGUCUGUCGUGAAAUCUCCCGGCUUAACUGGGAGGGUGCGGCGGAAACUGGUGUGCUCGAGGGUGGGAGAGGUAAGCGGAAUUCCUGGUGUAGCGGUGAAAUGCGUAGAUAUCAGGAGGAACACCUGCGGUGUAGACAGCUUACUGGACCACUUCUGACGCUGAGACACGAAAGCGUGGGUAGCAAACAGG